CCGAGUGAGGGCCCUCUGGGUCCAACCUCCCACCCGUGUUUAUCGUACCUUGUUGCUUCGGCGGGCCCGCCACUUGUGGCCGCCGGGGGGCACCUGCCCCCGGGCCCGCGCCCGCCGAAGACACCAUUGAACGCUGUAUGAAGAUUGCAGUCUGAGCUUAAAAGCUAAAUUAAUUA
rnacentral:misc_RNA from 1 species